rnacentral:rRNA from 1 species
CGGCGGACGGGGGAGUAAUGUAUGGGGAUCUACCUGAUGGCGGGGGAGUAACUACUGGAAACGGUAGCUAAUACCGCAUAAUGUCUACGGACCAAAGCGGGGGACCUCCGGGCCUCGCGCCAUCAGAUGAACCCAUAUGGGAUUAGCUAGUAGGUAAGGUAACGGCUUACCUAGGCGACGAUCCCUAGCUGGUCUGAGAGGAUGAUCAGCCACACUGGGACUGAGACACGGCCCAG